rnacentral:rRNA from 1 species
GUCCACGCCGUAAACGAUGGACACUAGACGUCGGGGGGAGCGACCCUCCCGGUGUCGUCGCUAACGCAGUAAGUGUCCCGCCUGGGGAGUACGGCCGCAAGGCUGAAACUCAAAGGAAUUGACGGGGGCCCGCACAAGCGGUGGAGCAUGUGGUUUAAUUCGAAGCAACGCGAAGAACCUUACCUGGGCUUGACAUGCUGGUGCAAGCCGGUGGAAACAUCGGCCCCUCUUCGGAGCGCCAGCACAGGUGCUGCAUGGCUGUCGU